rnacentral:rRNA from 1 species
AACGAACGCUGGCGGCAUGCCUAACACAUGCAAGUCGAACGAGACCUUCGGGUCUAGUGGCGCACGGGUGCGUAACGCGUGGGAACCUGCCCUUAGGUUCGGAAUAACUCCCCGAAAGGGGUGCUAAUACCGGAUAAUGUCUUCGGACCAAAGAUUUAUCGCCUUUGUAUGGGCCCGCGUUGGAUUAGCUAGUUGGUAGGGUAAAAGCCUACCAAGGCGACGAUCCAUAGCUGGUCGGAGAGGAUGAUCAGCCACACUGGGACUGAGACACGGCCCAGACUCCUACGGGAAGCAGCAGUGGGGAAUAUUGGACAAUGGGCGAAAGCCUGAUCCAGCAAUGCCGCGUGAGUGAUGAAGGCCUUAGGGUUGUAAAGCUGUUUUACCCGGGAUGAUAAUGACAGUACCGGGAGAAUAAGCUCCGGCUAACUCCGUG